CCUGACCCCAUAGGAGGUCCAGCCUGCCCAGUGACAAAGUUAAACGGCCGCGGUACCCUAACCGUGCGAAGGUAGCGCAAUCACUUGUUCUUUAAAUGAGGACUAGUAUGAAUGGCAUCACGAGGGUUUCACUGUCUCCCCCUUUUAAUCAAUGAAACUGAUCUUCCCGUGAAGAAGCGGGAAUAAACAUAUAAGACGAGAAGACCCCAUGGAGCUUUAAACCCAGUAUCAACUACACUUACUACACCACACAAGAUUAGUAGACGUGACACCUGGUUUUCGGUUGGGGUGACCACGGAGCAAAACAAAACCUCCAUGAUGAAAGGAAUCUAUUCCUAAUCUAAGAGCCACAGCUCAAAGAAUCAACAAACUGACAUUAAUUGACCCAAAUAUUUUGAUCAACGAAC
rnacentral:rRNA from 1 species